AAUCCAUGGUGUGGACAAUCUCUCUGGUAUUCUCUGAAUCUUUCCCAAGCGUCGUAGAGGUCUUCUGUAUCCUCCUGCUGAAAUUUUUGUAUCUUGUUCCUUAAGAGAUU
rfam:Eutrema salsugineum unplaced genomic scaffold scaffold_12, whole genome shotgun sequence.